AUUGAACGCUGGCGGAAUGCUUUACACAUGCAAGUCGAACGGCAGCACGGACUUCGGUCUGGUGGCGAGUGGCGAACGGGUGAGUAAUGUAUCGGAACGUGCCCAGUCGUGGGGGAUAACGUAGUGAAAAUUACGCUAAUACCGCAUACGAUCUAUGGAUGAAAGCGGGGGAUCGCAAGACCUCGCGCGAUUGGAGCGGCAGAUAUCAGAUUAGGUAGUUGGUGGGGUAAAGGCUCACCAAGCCAACGAUCUGUAGCUGGUCUGAGAGGGCGACCAGCCAACCUGGAACUGAGACACGGGCCAGACUCCUACGGGAGGCAGCAGUGGGGAAUUUUGGACAAUGGGCGAAAGCCUGAUCCAGCCAUUCCGCGUGCAGGAUGAAGGCCCUCGGGUUGUAAACUGCUUUUGUACAGAACGAAAAGGUUUCUACUAAUACUAGGAGCUCAUGACGGUACCGUAAGAAUAAGCACCGGCUAACUACGUGCCAGCCGCCGCAGUAA
rnacentral:rRNA from 1 species